rnacentral:misc_RNA from 1 species
AACUGAUACUACCUGCGGGAACCUGCGGAGGGAUCAUUACUGAGUGAGGGCCCUCUGGGUCCAACCUCCCACCCGUGUUUAUUGUACCUUGUUGCUUCGGUGGGCCCGCCGCAAGGCCGCCGGGGGCUUCCGCCCCGGGCCCGCGCCCACCGGAGACAAACUGAACUCUGUCUGAAUGUUGCAGUCUGAGUAAAAACUUAAUAAGUUAAAACUUUUAACAACGGAUCUCUAGAUCGGAAG